rnacentral:sRNA from 1 species
AGACCUGACAUCAGCAAGAGGGCAGGUUCCAGGCUGUACAUGGGGCGCAGGUGAUGGGAUCGUAGUCCGACUCCCAGGCUCCUAGAGGGUCCCUGAUCUGAGCUGUUCUUCCCUCCACAGGGGGGCUCAUUUGGCCGGGGCACAGACCUAAGGGAUGGCUGUGAUGUUGAACUCAUCAUCUUCCUCAACUGCUUCACGGACUACAAGGACCAGGGGCCCCGCCGCGCAGAGAUCCUUGAUGAGAUGCGAGCGCAGCUAGAAUCCUGGUGGCAGGACCAGGUGCCCGGCCUGAGCCUUCAGUUUCCUGAGCAGAAUGUGCCUGAGGCUCUGCAGUUCCAGCUGGUGUCCACAGCCCUGAAGAGCUGGAUGGAUGUUAGCCUGCUGCCUGCCUUCGAUGCUGUGGGGCAGCUCAGUUCUGGCACCAAACCAAAUCCCCAGGUCUACUCGAGGCUCCUCACCAGUGGCUGCCAGGAGGGCGAGCAUAAGGCCUGCUUCGCAGAGCUGCGGAGGAACUUCAUGAACAUUCGCCCUGUCAAGCUGAAGAACCUGAUUCUGCU